GAUCAAGCUACAAAGGGUUUAUAAUGAAUGACUUGGCAGAUUAAGGCGAUGAAGGACGUGGAAAGCUGCGAUAAGCCCCGGGGAGCCGCAAUUGGCUUUGAUCCGGGGAUCUCCGAAUGGGGCAACCCCAUCAGAUUCAUCUCUGAUGAUCUCAUACUGAAUACAUAGGUAUGAAAAGCUAUACCAGGUGAACUGAAACAUCUAAGUAACCUGAGGAAAAGAAACCGAAUGGGAUUCUCUUAGUAGCGGCGAGCGAAGAGAGAACAGGCUAAACCGACAAGCAUGCUUGUCGGGGUUGCGGGACCUUAAUGUGGGAUUGUGAUGGAAUAGCAGAAGUGUUUGAAAAAACACGCCAUAGACUGUGAGAGCCAGGUAUGCGAAAUUCCAAAGCACCCUAGAGGUAUCCCAAGUACUGCCGGGCACGGGAAAUCUGGCAGGAAUCUGGCCCGACCAUGGGCUAAGCCUAAAUACUCAAUCUGACCGAAAGUGGACAAGUACCGUGAGGGAAAGUUGAAAAGAACCCCGGGAGGGGAGUGAAAUAGAACCUGAAAUAAUAAACCUACAAGCUGUCGGAGGCCUAUGUUCUUCUCGUAAGAGGAGAAAACGGCUGACGGCGUACCUUUUGCAUAAUGGACCAACGAGUUAUUAUGUGUUGCAAGCUUAAGCUCCUCUGGAGUGUAGGCGUAGGGAAACCGAGUCUGAAUAGGGCGACAAUAAGUAGCACAUAAUAGACCCGAAACCACGUGAUCUAUCCAUGGCCAGGUUGAAGCUUAUCGAAAGAUAAGUGGAGGACCGAACGCAUUAUCGUUGAAAAGAUUCGCGAUGAGCUGUGGAUCGGAGUGAAAGGCUAGUCAAACGUGGCAAUUGCUGGUUCUCCCCGAAAUAGUUCUAGGACUAGCUUCGAGGAAUUAAUAAACAGGGGUAGAGUUACUGAAUAGACUAGGGGCCUUACCGGGCUGCCAAAUCUAACCAAACUCCGAAUACUGUUUAUUUUAUCUCGGAAGUCAGAGCAAGAGGGCUAAGCUUCUUGCUCGAGAGGGAAACAGCCCAGACCAUCAACUAAGGUCCCAAAUAUAGACUAAGUGGUAAAGGAAGUGAGAUCACAUAAACAGCCAGGAUGUUGGCUUAGAGGCAGCCAUCAUUUAAAGAGUGCGUAAUAGCUCACUGGUCGAGUGGUCUUGCGCCGAAAAUGAUCGGGGCUCAAGCAUGUAACCGAAGCAGUGGAUUCCGCCGCAAGGCGAGAGUGGUAGGGGAGCGUAGUGUCAUGCGUUGAAGGCGUACCGUAAGGAGCGCUGGAGUAGACACUAGUGAUACUGUUGGUAUAAGUAGCGAAAACUAUAGCGAGAAACUAUAGCAUCGAAAAUCUAAGGUUUCCUGGGGAAGGUUAAUCCGCCCAGGGUUAGUCGAUCCUAAGCCGAGGUCGGGUAGACGUAGGUGAUGGACAGCAGGUUCAAUAUUCCUGCACCACUUGUAACGCGUUAUCAAUUAUGUNNNNNNNNNNUGGCUAUGAACGUUAUAGCUUAAUGUGACGCGGAAGGUUAACUGAUCGGACUGUUGGAAUAGUCCGUCCAAACCGGUAGGUGUGCAGCAAUGCAUGCUGAGGGGUGAUGGGGAGCUGCGAUUAUAUCAAAGCGAAGUCAGUGAUACCAGGCUGCCGAGAAAAACCAUUAAGUGAGUAUCAUGGUCAAUCGUACCGUAAUCCGACACAGGUAGAUAACCAGAAUAUGGUAAGGUGCUCGAGAUAUCCGUCCCUAAGGAACUAGGCAAAGUGGCUCCGUAACUUCGGAAGAAGGAGUGCCGGAUUGGUCAGGCCCCUCGCGGGCGCAGCCAUGAAGGUCACAGUAAAGAGGCUUGGGUGACUGUUUAGUAAAAACACAUCACUCUGCAAAGUCGCAAGACGACGUAUAGGGUGUGACACCUGCCCGGUGCUGGAAGGUUAAGGGAAAAGGUUAGCCGCAAGGCGAAGCUUUGAACCGAAGCCCCAGUAAACGGCGGCCGUAACUAUAACGGUCCUAAGGUAGCGAAAUUCC
rnacentral:rRNA from 1 species